rnacentral:rRNA from 1 species
ACACAUAGGGGGCGAGCGUUGUUCGGAAUCAUUGGGCGUAAAGGGCGUGCAGGCGGUCGUGCAAGUCCGGCGUGAAAGACCCCGGCCCAACCGGGGGGACGCGCUGGAAACUGCAGGGCUUGAGUACAGGAGGGGAUGCCGGAAUUCCAGGUGUAGGGGUGAAAUCUGUAGAUAUCUGGAAGAACACCAAUGGCGAAGGCAGGCAUCUGGCCAUGUACUGACGCUGAGACGCGAAGGUGCGGGGAGCAAACAGGUUUAGAUACCCUGGUAGUCCGCACAGUAAACGAUGUGCACCAGGUGGCGGGGGGUAGCCCUCGGUACCGAAGCCAACGCAUUAAGUGCACCGCCUGGGGAGUAUGCUCGCAAGGGUGAAACUCAAAUGAAUUGACUGGG